AUACUUACCUGGCAAGGGAGAUACCACAAUCAUGAAGGUGGUUUUCCCAGGGCGAGACUUCUCCAUUGCUAUACAGAUGUCCUGACCUCUGUGAUUUCCCCAAACAUGGGAAACUUGACUGCAUAAUUUAUGGUUGUGGGGGACUGUAUUUGCAUUUUCCCCUU
rnacentral:snRNA from 1 species